AGUGAACGCUGGCGGCAGGCCUAACACAUGCAAGUCGAGCGGCAGCGGGUUCCCGCGAGGGGAUGCCGGCGAGCGGCGGACGGGUGAGGAACACAUCGGAAUCUGCCUGGUUGUGGGGAUAACGUAGGGAAACUUACGCUAAUACCGCAUGAGACCCUGAGUCGACGGACUGGGGUGAAAGUGAGGGACCUUCGGCCGUCACGCGACCAGAUGAGCCGAUGUCGGA
rnacentral:rRNA from 1 species